rnacentral:pre_miRNA from 9 species
UCUCGAUAGCGUAAAAGUUAACUCGGAUUUGUAUGAAGUUACGUUUGUCUACGUUUGCCGCUACGUGCGCUGUUCUAACUGCAUACAAAUUUGACUUAACUUUUACGGUAUCGA